AUUGUGGCUUGCUUCACAUUGCUAAUAUCUUCUUCCUCAGAUUGUCUGGGAUCCAACUCUGCACAGAUGGGUUAACAAAACUGAGCCCAAGGCUGAGAACAAGUGUGUACCACCACCUCCACCGAUGGGGACAUAUGGAUAUCAGGGGAACACUGGCAGUGUCCCCAAAGGAGUGAAUCCUUACUCUAUGAAAGCAGCAGGUCUAUGGGGCAGCAGAUACCCUACAAUGCAUUA